CCACGGUGCUCCGCGGCAGGAUUUCAAAUCCUGCAUUUUAUAUGUCUAUCAGACCUCUGGGCAUGUAGAUGGGGAUUGGAGGUGCAGAGAUGGCCAUGAAGGGGAGUCUUUUUAGCACCAGAUAUAGCUGGAUUUAACCUGCUCCCACAGUGAGGCCUCCUCCCAUGGCCUCAACCAACAGGUCUCAGCUAAUGGCACCGAAUGAUGCCUCCUGCUGCCACGAUCGCUCUAAACAGCCCUGACACACAGCUGAGGCCUCUGUGGGCAAGGACUUUUCGGUAUCGCCAUUUUUAGAUGUUCCGUGCCACUUUCACACAUGCUGAAAUGUGGACUUUUGCCCCCAGUAAGAGCCGCUGGCCAAGGUCAGGCCCAUCGCAGCAUGCAGCAGCAAGCUGUCACAGAGCGCUCAAGUGCUUCCCCACGCUCACGUUCCUCUCAGCCACUCCGUUCCUCUUAUUUUAGCUUUGUUUAAACAAUCUCCUUGGUAACAGGAGGGAGAAGCAGAAUUUUUUCGUCCUCCUCCUGGGGCUGGUUUCCUGCCUAUCUCAGCACCGGGAGGAAGCACGAAAGCUCUCCUGAACAAACGUCCUCAUUAGCAAACACAUGUUUGCAUCUGUGCUCCCACCACAGGUUUUAACCCUGUGUAUCUUUGGGGAUUUCAGGAGCCCCCGGUGUCUCUUUCAAAGGGUUUCUAUACACAGAGUUUUGGUGUAGAGGGCUGUAUUUCACAAUUUAAUUUAUCUGGCAGCAAAUCAACAGUGUGUCGGUCAGUGAGUGGUAAGUGAAAUUGUCCACAUGCCCCUGACCUCGAGUCCAAGAAGACCGUGAGGGUCCUCUGCUCUUCUUGGGACAGUUUCAGAAAGGUCUCUGUGAGGAGAUCAGCAUCAAUUGCUAGCAGCUCCCAAAGUCCUGAAAAUGCUUGAAAAGGCUGGGAAGCAAUGGUGUUGUGCAGCACCAGGGUGUAGCUCACAGGCUGGGUUCUGGUCUUAAGAAAUGGGUAUCUCUGAUGCUUCGAGCCUGCACAACUGCAGCAUCCCAUAUGCUUCAUGUUUUUUAUAGCCAGGUAGCACCCUGGUGCUGGUCCCGCACAGGUGACUUGCCCAAGGGAGGCUGGAGCAGGGGGGCACUCUGCUGCCAGCCAUUUAAAUUGCUAAAAUAUGAGCUUUGUGCUGGAACAUCCCUUGACAGAUGAUUACUUACAACUUCUCCUAAUAAAAGUUCAAUGUGACACUUAGUGACAAGCUAAUAAAAGAUCAAAAGGCUUUUCCGUAGCUUAGGAGCCUAUUAGCAUCUGCAGGGCCCCAGCAGGGAGAGGAGGCAGGGUCUGUGCUCUGUGCUGCACUUGCAGAUACAGAUCACAUCUGCACACCCGUGCACACACGACUGGUCAAGGCAGAUGUUUUGCUCAGCACUUUGACUGCAGUUUUGCAUGUGCGUGCACAUGCACGUGUGUUUUGAUAAGUUUGAAACAUUGUCAAGAGCAGCAGAGCACGCCGGUGUGAGCAGCACAGCAAAAAACAUUUUGGCUACAGGCACUUUCCAAGUCUCAAAGCCAGUCACUUGAUCCCUAGAGAAAAAACGAUAAAAGUAGUGAUGUUGAAGUGCUUUUUGUCUGUGGAGGCUCUGAUCCUACAUUUGGGUCUCCAUUCCAAGAUACUGGGGGAGUUUCUCAACCUCCCAUCUUGAAAAGUGAGGGCUGAUUUUUGGGUCUGGCCACCAGAUGCAUCUCUCUGACUCAGUGCAGAGGUAAAAUGAGGCUGGAGACUGUUCCUGAAAGGCAGCUUGCACAUUCAGUAUCGAUGUAUUUCCUCCGAAUUUCUGCAGCAUGCCCUCUGCUGUCACUGAGCAUCCCUGCGUCCUCCCAGCUCGCUUCUUUUCCCAUAUAGAGGGAAGGGCAGGGUGCAGCCAAGACCCCUACUGUAGCAUCUUCCCAAACAAGGGAGAGCCUCCCUUGACCUGAAACCCAUGCCAGGGGAGAUUGAAAUGUGUCUUCCUUUGGGAGGCAUUGGAGCAGCUGAUGCCAUUGCACAGCAGAUGUAUUCUGGGCUUCCUUCAACCCUGAUUCCUGAUGCUGAAGCCACACUGCUAGGU